UUCAAAUGAAAUCCAGAAACCCAAAAAUCUUCAAAACCAUUCAUCAUCAUGUACUCAUUAAAUACAAAAAUUUCAAAACUCAAAAACCAUUGUUCUUCAAAUAAUAAUAUAUUCAACUUAAAAAUUGUCUAACAUCGUAAUCCAUACUCAACUUCACAAUUCAACAUCAUCAGUUUCACAAUCCAACAUCAUAAGUUCUAGAUCUAUAAUGGUGAAUCAAAGACGAGAGAACGAGAUUUAAGUUAGAUAAGUAAAAAGAUUUGGGGAAAAAGAAAACAACCAUUCUAUUCAUCAUCCCCAUCUCCCAUGGUCAUCCCCAUCUAAGAAAACAACCCAACCAAUUUAUUUUUCUCCAUUUCUUUACUUUUAUUUUCAGUUCUAUUUAGUGCUCUAAUGUAGUAGACCUUGUAGAUCUAUUGGAUGUAGAUCGAGCUCUCCCGGACGCUCGAUGGCCGUUUCCCCGAGAGAUCAUGUGGUUCGUAAGCUGAAUCGUUAUGUCACGAAAUCCAGCGUCGUAUAGGUGCUCAGAGAGUCGGGAAUUGCCACAGCUGGGAACCAAAAUCUGUGCUCCGGUGGUGGUGGUGCUGCUAGUGGAGGCGUCCUGUGGCGGCGAUGGUGUCUCCUUAUCGGAAAGGUGAGAGAGAAGAGGGCCACGAAGCUGAGGCCACUCGGCGUAUGUAAUACUCGGAAAACAAUAAUAAUAAUAAUAACAUUUAAAUCUAUAUUUAAAAUAUUUUAAUUUGGGAUUUUCUUAUGUUUGGGUCAGAUUAUAUUUCAUUUUGAGUGAACCAUAAUGAAUAUUGGACAAUGUUGAGUUGAUAAAUUUGGGCCUUAAAACUAAUUAAGUUUAGCAUAUAUUUUAUACUAUUAAAU
rnacentral:lncRNA from 1 species